AAAUCACGACUAGGGCAUUUCUUGAGCUUAUCUUAAAAUCGCUCCCACGUCUCUGCUAGUGUUUCUCCAUCAUAUUGCUGGAACUGGAGAAUCUUCAUCUUAAGCUU